CCUACGGCACAUGGAUUCGCAUCCACGUGACACCUAGCUCGCAUCGUUUACGGCUAGGACUACCGGGGUAUCUAAUCCGGUUCGUGCCCCUAGCUUUCGUCCCUCACCGUCGGACCCGUUCUAGCAAAGACGCNUUCGCCACUGGCGGUCCNUCAAGGAUUACAGGAUUUCACUCCUACCCCUGAGGUACCUCUUGCCUCUCCCGGUCCCAAGACCAGCAGUAUCCAUUGGCAGCCUUACGGUUAAGCCGUAAGAUUUCCCAAGGGACUAACUGGUCCGGCUACGGACCCUUUAAGCCCAAUAAUAGCGGCCACCACUCGAGCCGCCGGUGUUACCGCGGCGGCUGGCACCGGUCUUGCCCGGCUCUUAUUCCACAUGCUUUUUAGGCGUAUGAAAAGCGUACGCAUUGCGCACGCACUCGAGGUCCCCUUAUCGCGCUUUCGCGCAGUGUAAAGUUUUCGCGCCUGCUGCGCCCCGUAGGACCUGGAUUCGUGUCUCAGAAUCCAUCUCCGGGCUCUUGCUCUCACAACCCGUACCGAUUAUCGGCUUGUUGGGACGUUACCCCAGCAACUACCUAAUCGGCCGCAGACCCAUCCUCAGACGCUAAAGCUUUAAACCGUAAGGCAUUCCAGCGUUCACGGAUUAUCCGGUAUUAUCUCCAGUUUCCCGGAGUUAUCCCAGAUCUGAGGGUAGGUUGUCCACGUGUUACUGAGCCGUAAGGGCGAAUUCCAGCACACUGGCGGCCGUUACUAGUGGAUCCGAGCUCGGUACCAAGCUUUGC
rnacentral:rRNA from 1 species